rnacentral:ncRNA from 1 species
CUUAUCCAGGUCUGUGGUUGCGGAGGUGAUCUCCUCCUAGUUCAUGGCAGACGAGGCCAAAAGGAUCCACGUAAGUUCGGGCGUGCGCGCCCGAGCGAGCAUGGCUCGUCCUAGAAGUAAGACGCACCGCCCGCAACUCUUGAGGCAUACGGCCUCACGGGCGAGAGGGCCAGUAGUGGGGGGCCGUGUAGCCCCGAAGCGACCGUCCCAGUGUGCGAGUGUGGGGUCAAAUACCAGGUCAGCUGGAUAAG